rnacentral:rRNA from 1 species
CAAUAGCGUAUAUUAAAGUUGUUGCGGUUAAAAAGCUCGUAGUUGGAUUUCUGUUGAGAACAGCCGGUCCACCUCUUGGGUGAGUAUCUGGAUUGGUCUCGGCAUCCUCUCGAAACUCGUUGCUGCGCUUGAUUGCGUGGUGCGGUGUUCGGGACUUUUACUUUGAGGAAAUUAGAGUGUUCACGGCAGGCAUUCGCCUUGAAUAUAUUAGCAUGGAAUAAUACUAUAGGAUCUUGGUUCUAUUUUGUUGGUUUCUAGGGCUAAGAUAAUAAUCAAUAGGGACAAUUGGGGGUCGAUUCGUAUUACGGCGUCAGAGGUGAAAUUACUUGGAUUGCCGUACGACGAACUACUGCGAAAGCAUUUGCCAACGGAUAGUUUUCUAUUGAUCAAGAACGAAAAGUAAGGGG